rnacentral:misc_RNA from 1 species
UUGCAAUUGUCCCUACAAUGCAUACAAAUUUUAAAGUUAAAAACAUGAUCAAGUUUAAGCCUUUGAAUUAGACACAAAUACCUUUCAAUGUCUGUUGUUGUGCAGGUGUUUUUAUCCUUUUUUAAUCUAAAAAUAAAAUAAUUAAACAAGGAGAAUUUUCAUUGGUGAGAUUUCAUGCCUAUGGUCUACUUUUAGAUUGCCUCAUUUUUGUAACUAGAGCCCAGUUGGUUAUUAUGCGGUUACGACAUAGCUAUUCAUAGAAAUAUCAGCUCUCUUCAAAACUAAUGUUAAAAAUUAACAACAUAUGAAAUUAGAAAUUUUAAGGACCAAAAUAAAAACCAAGUUAAAAUAACAUUUUUCAAACUUAACAGUACAACGAUAUGUCAUAUGUGACUUUUAAGUUUGAAUGACAAAAAA